CCAUUCUAUGAUUCUAUGACUAUGAUUCUAUGAUCAGUUGUAUCCCAGUCCUCACAAAUAAUGGCAGCUUCACAGAGAGUUUGAGUGGAGUCUCCUUGCUCUUUUUGUCCCCCCUGCUCUUGGCUAGGAAGUCCCCUGGAAACAAAUCAUCUGGUGUCAUUUUUGCAAAACUGUAAAGGGGUACAGGACCAAUGCAUUUCCAGGGUAAGCUGUGUUGGUUUCUGGAACAGGACAGCAGGGACCUGAAUGAAAUGGAACGAGGGACAUUUUCACCCCUUUGGCCUCUUUUAUUCUACCUGAUUUUAUACUCUAGGAACCUUGCACAAAAUGUAUAUAAGACUCACCUGGUCCCAAAGGGCAUCUAGCACAGCUGGCAAGAUCCCACAUUGGGCUGCAUGUCACAGCCGACAGCAGCAGAUUCUAUGCCAGAAGAGAAUCUGUGGAAGAAAUGUUUCAGAAAGUGGAUUGGUUUUGAUCUCUAGAACGAAUAUACCAGACAUGUAACACUAUGUAGCAAAAUAAUUCAGAAAAGAUCAUUUAAAAAACACACAGCAUUUGCAGGUAUAUAAACUUUGAUAGAAGCUGUGGGCUUCAAGAUGAGAGCUCUUCCUUAUUCUCUGGACAUAGCCUGGAGCUUUUCUGGGCUUCUUGCCUGGGAUUACUAAACUGCUGGUCCAGCUCCCAGCCUUGGCUCCAUCACUGGCUUAUGCUGAGACCCUCAGGAAGCCACUGCUUUGCUCCAUUUCAUCUGAGGCUGCCGUCUGCUAUGACCAAGAUACUAAGACCCUAUCCUAUCCUUGCUCCCUGCAGCAUUCAGGAGCCACCAGGACACCACUAACUGCACUCACCAGUCAGUGCAGCAGAAACAUCACCCUGUUUUUCUCCAGAGUUUACACCAGACAGGCUCCUUCAUUUCCCCUGGAGCCUGCAGCAUACAGCACAGAAUACUGCACAGAAUACUGAAUAAAAAUCCCAAGGUGCUCCCAGUUUGAAUUAGUGAUGGAAGUGAGAGCUCUCAAGCCAUCCUUUCCCUUGUUUUGGCAGAAGCCCCCAAGCUUCGUGGUGUGUUAAGGUGUGUCUCACGUGCUGAAUGGGAGCACAGAAAGUUGUGUUACAAGACUGAGGUGUCUGCAAGCCUGCAGGUGCAGGAAUUUUUAUCUUCCAUCUUCAUUUCUAAGCAACUUCAGCGACUCCACAGAGCAACCUUCUCAACAUGUUGCUCAUAAUAUGCUCAGAUUUAUGCCAGAGUUUACCCAUUUCCUUCUGAAGUUCUUUAGCUUACAUUUUUUUAAUUUUGUUUAGCAGUCUCUCGAGCUGUGUCUCUACCCUCAUAUAUAUACUACAGUGCAUGUAUAAUUAAUGGGACUGAAAGUUACAACCAUUUAAAACCGGUAGGUUCUCCUGAUGAUGAGUAGGGAAUCUAAAUUGCAAAAAGUGAAUUGCAAGGCUCCAGCCAGCACGGUGCCUGCUUCUAAGACCCAGACUGGAGAUGGGAGGAAGUCAGCAGGCUUUUGAAAAGCCAUAAGCAAUUCUCAUGCCAGCUCCAGAAUUGGAGUGAAGGGAGCUGCAGAACAAUUGCAGGCUGAUAGGGAAAGAAGGCCCACUACUUGAAAAGUUGUUGCAAACACUUCAUUCCUUCUUUUGUCUUGGUCAGGUGUGCUACAUACAGCACAGAAGAGCACUUCAGUACAUUCCAGGAUCAGAAAAUGGAAGAGAUACUAUCUGCUGGAUUACUAAAUCAAUAUAAGUGAUUGUGUGCUUCUUUAACAUAAAAGUGGAGGUAAGGAAAAGCAGCCACCACAUUCCCAUUUCAUGAGCCUGGAAGACUGUGUAUGAGCUCAGAGAACGCUGGUGAGGACUUCACUAGGAGAAAUACCUCUUGAUCUCACCAGUAAUGGAACAAGGCCAUCAACACCUUUACAUGUGAAAGAAAUCCUAUGGCCACAGCAGUUUUCCUUUACCGCUGUCACUCAGCCUCAGAGUUCCUUCUGGGUGCAAUUUUAGCAGAAAAAUAAAUAAAUUCAACAUGAAAUGGAUGUUCAGGUUGAGCAAAACAGUCAUGGGUUUUCUGAGAUCAGCUAAAAGUCUGAAAUGAGAAAGAAGGAAAUUACUGUACUUUGGUCUUUGUUGUUUUGCUUUUUCAGUUGAAACGACAUCUCUGUGUCAAUGCUGAUGUUAUGCUAUUUUAAAGAGAAAAAUAGGAAAUCAGUAACUCACCCCAAAUGAAACAAAACAUAAGUUUAACCCCAAAUAAAAGAAUUCGGUGUUCUCUGGU
ensembl:lncRNA